GAUGAACGCUGGCGGCGUGCCUAAUACAUGCAAGUCGAGCGAACGGACGAGAAGCUUGCUUCUCUGAUGUUAGCGGCGGACGGGUGAGUAACACGUGGAUAACCUACCUAUAAGACUGGGAUAACUUCGGGAAACCGUAGCUAAUACCGGAUAAUAUUUUGAACCGCAUGGUUCAAAAGUGAAAGACGGUCUUGCUGUCACUUAUAGAUGGAUCCGCGCUGCAUUAGCUAGUUGGUAAGGUAACGGCUUACCAAGGCAACGAUGCAUAGCCGACCUGAGAGGGUGAUCGGCCACACUGGAACUGAGACACGGUCCAGACUCCUACGGGAGGCAGCAGUAGGGAAUCUGCCGCAAUGGGCGAAAGCCUGACGGAGCAACGCCGCGUGAGUGAUGAAGGUCUUCGGAUCGUAAAACGCUGUUAUUAGGGAAGAACAUAUGUGUAAGUAACUGUGCACAUCUUGACGGUACCUAAUCAGAAAGCCACGGCUAACUACGU
rnacentral:rRNA from 1 species